CACGUAGGGGGCAAGCGUUGUCCGGAUUUAUUGGGCGUAAAGAGCUCGUAGGCGGCUCAGUAAGUCGGGUGUGAAACCCCCGGGCUCAACCCGGGGUCGCCAUCCGAUACUGCUGUGGCUUGAGUCCGGUAGGGGAGCGUGGAAUUCCUGGUGUAGCGGUGAAAUGCGCAGAUAUCAGGAGGAACACCAGCGGCGAAGGCGGCGCUCUGGGCCGGAACUGACGCUGAGGAGCGAAAGCGUGGGGAGCGAACAGG
rnacentral:rRNA from 1 species